CGAUUAAACGCGUUGUAACGUUUAUGUGGCCCAGCUCGUACGCCGCAGCAUUCCUCUCAUUCCCGCAUUAAUUCUGUUUUCCUCCAUCUGUUCGCGCCCAUGUCAGCCGUCAGAGCUCAUCAAACCAUUAGGCCUUCGUAUACGUAAUCUGCACUGCUCUCGAAGCUUUCCGAUCGCGGUGGAGGGGGUGUACGCGGCGGGCGGCACGUUCGCGGAAAAAAGCUCAGCGGCGGCGGCGCUCUUGAAAAUUCAAGCCGCGCGAAGAGAGGAAGGGGAAGAGAUUCCUGGAGGAGCCGGCGCCUCCUGACGAGGGGCGUGAGCGCGUGACGGCUAGCAGCUCCAGUCUUCGACGAGCCGCAGCGUCAAGCGAUCGCAGAACUCUUUUUCCGAUAGCUCUCUCAGUUCUAACACGGCCGAUUAGCCGCCUGUUGUUACGCUCCGCCAGUCGACGAGCCAAAGCUCCGGAAAUGACGGGCACAGCAGCACAGAAGCGAAGGAGUUCGCUGAAAAUUCCCAUCCAGAGCCACGAGUCGAAGAACAUCCUGACGACGUACUUCAUCCUGCUCUUGCUACUCAUCUCGCUGUACCUGCUCUACUCGGGGAUCUACUAAAUGGAAAAAUAUCGUAAUCAUGGGUUGACGCACGUAACACAGGAGGGUAAGAGCGUGCAUGCCAGAGAUAGGAAAAAGCUCUCCCCGAGACCGUGAUAACAUCCCACGUUCCAGUGUCCAUCAGUCCAUGGAAAAUAACAAGAGCGACGUCGUUCACCAAGUGCAAUAAUUAAGUUAGCGUAUAAGUUUCAAUAAAAAGAAAACGUUAAAUCCAAAUAGCAGGCUGCGAGUUUGAAAACGUUAUUAAAAGCGCGGGACAAAUAUCAUCGAACUCAAUCAGUGUCCAAUGAAUUCCGAUCGAGUCUGCGUAUGCGAUCGUUAUUCGAAUUGGACUAAAUCCGUGUGUGCGCGGCGCAACCGAUUAUUUUCACUGUGGCGUUCGACUUAAUACGUCUUGACCUUGUGACAAUUCCGCUCCAGCUUCUUGUUUCUUUCUUUUAAUUUUAUGAUCAAACAAAUCAAACUUCUUAGCUUGGAUCAAAAAUUUGAAACGAUAAAAAGCGUAUACUAACCCGUACAUCCCGUUCUCUUGAGAACGCGCGCCUAUUUUUAAAUAUCAGAAAGAAAGAAGAAGCUCUUGGCAUGCAUAAGCAAAAAAAAAAAAAAUCCGAAAGCGAGAGAGAGAACCCUACAGUUUAAGAUCGUAAAAGCGAGCGUUCCCUCUCGCGCGCACAUAACGUCUUGUGUCGUGCGUCAAAAGUAAUCCAUUUCCCCGCUCGAUAUCCGAGUCAAGGAGAAACAGAGAUAGAGAGAGAGAGAGAGAGAGAGAGAGAGAGAGAGAGAGAGAGAGAGAGAGAGAGAGAGAAAACA